rnacentral:rRNA from 1 species
AUCCGGGUUGCGGACAGUGUCUGGUGGGUAGUUUGACUGGGGCGGUCUCCUCCCAAAGAGUAACGGAGGAGCACGAAGGUUAGCUAAUCCUGGUCGGACAUCAGGAGGUUAGUGCAAUGGCAUAAGCUAGCUUGACUGCGAGAGUGACGGCUCGAGCAGGUGCGAAAGCAGGUCAUAGUGAUCCGGUGGUUCUGAAUGGAAGGGCCAUCGCUCAACGGAUAAAAGGUACUCCGGGGAUAACAGGCUGAUA